rnacentral:rRNA from 1 species
GAUGAACGCUAGCGGCAGGCCUAAUACAUGCAAGUCGAACGGUGUAGCAAUACACAGUGGCGCACGGGUGCGUAACACGUAUGCAACCUACCUUACAUUGGGGGAUAGCCUUUCGAAAGGGAGAUUAAUACCGCAUAAGACAGUAACUAGGCAUCUAGUAGCUGUUAAAGAUUUAUCGAUGUAAGCUGGGCAUGCGUCCAAUUAGUUAGUUGGCGAGGUAAUGGCUCACGAAGACGAUGAUUGGUAGGGGAACUGAGAGGUCAAUCCCCCACACUGGCACUGAGAUACGGGCCAGACUCCUACGGGAGGCAGCAGUAGGGAAUAUUGGGCAAUGGGCGCAAGCCUGACCCAGCCAUGCCGCGUGCAGGAAGAAGGCGUUAUGCGUUGUAAACUGCUUUUAUACAGGAAGAAACGACCCUUGCGAGGGGCAUUGACGGUACUGUAUGAAUAAGCACCGGCUAACCCCGUGCCAGCAGCCGCAGUAAAAC